CUUCGGAAUCUGAGACCGGCGCACGGGUGCGUAACGCGUAUGCAAUCUGCCUUUCACAGAGGGAUAGCCCAGAGAAAUUUGGAUUAAUACCUCAUAGCAUAAUGAGUUGGCAUCAGCACAUUAUUAAAGUCACAACGGUGAAAGAUGAGCAUGCGUCCCAUUAGCUAGUUGGUAAGGUAACGGCUUACCAAGGCAACGAUGGGUAGGGGUCCUGAGAGGGAGAUCCCCCACACUGGUACUGAGACACGGACCAGACUCCUACGGGAGGCAGCAGUGAGGAAUAUUGGUCAAUGGGCGCAAGCCUGAACCAGCCAUGCCGCGUGCAGGAUGACGGUCCUAUGGAUUGUAAACUGCUUUUGUACGGGAAGAAACACUCCUUCGUGAAGGAGCUUGACGGUACCGUAAGAAUAAGGAUCGGCUAACUCCGUGCCAGCAGCCGCGGUAAUACGGAGGAUCCAAGCGUUAUCCGGAAUCAUUGGGUUUAAAGGGUCCGUAGGCGGUCUUGUAAGUCAGUGGUGAAAGCCCAUCGCUCAACGGUGGAACGGCCAUUGAUACUGCAGGACUUGAAUUAUUGGGAAGUAACUAGAAUAUGUAGUGUAGCGGUGAAAUGCUUAGAGAUUACAUGGAAUACCAAUUGCGAAGGCAGGUUACUACCAAUUGAUUGACGCUGAUGGACGAAAGCGUGGGUAGCGAACAGGAUUAGAUACCCUGGUAGUCCACGCCGUAAACGAUGGAUACUAGCUGUUGGGGGCAACUUCAGUG
rnacentral:rRNA from 1 species